rnacentral:rRNA from 1 species
GACGAACGCUGGCGGCGUGCUUAACACAUGCAAGUCGAACGGAAAGGCCCCCUUGUGGGGUACUCGAGUGGCGAACGGGUGAGUAACACGUGAGUAACCUACCCUUGACUUUGGGAUAACUUCAGGAAACUGGGCUAAUACCGGAUAGGAGCUCCUGCUGCAUGGUGGGGGUUGGAAAGUUUCGGCGGUUGGGGAUGGACUCGCGGCUUAUCAGCUUGUUGGUGGGGUAGUGGCUCACCAAGGCUUUGACGGGUAGCCGGCCUGAGAGGGUGACCGGCCACAUUGGGACUGAGAUACGGCCCAGACUCCUACGGGAGGCAGCAGUGGGGAAUAUUGCACAAUGGGCGGAAGCCUGAUGCAGCAACGCCGCGUGCGGGAUGACGGCCUCGGUUGUAACCGACUUCGUCCUGUGACGAAGCGUGAGUGACGGUAAUGGGUAAA